AUUGAACGCUGGCGGCAGGCCUAACACAUGCAAGUCGAGCGGUAGCACAGAGAGCUUGCUCUCGGGUGACGAGCGGCGGACGGGUGAGUAAUGUCUGGGAAACUGCCUGAUGGAGGGGGAUAACUACUGGAAACGGUAGCUAAUACCGCAUAACGUCGCAAGACCAAAGAGGGGGACCUUCGGGCCUCUUGCCAUCAGAUGUGCCCAGAUGGGAUUAGCUAGUAGGUGGGGUAACGGCUCACCUAGGCGACGAUCCCUAGCUGGUCUGAGAGGAUGACCA
rnacentral:rRNA from 1 species